rnacentral:rRNA from 1 species
AGACAGCAGUCGCCACGGGAACACGUAGGUCCCGAGCGUUGUCCGGAUUUAUUGGGCGUAAAGGGAGCGCAGGCGGUUUAGUAAGUCUGAAGUUAAAGGCAUUGGCUCAACCAAUGUAUGCUUUGGAAACUGUUAGACUUGAGUGCAGAAGGGGAGAGUGGAAUUCCAUGUGUAGCGGUGAAAUGCGUAGAUAUAUGGAGGAACACCGGUGGCGAAAGCGGCUCUCUGGUCUGUCACUGACGCUGAGGCUCGAAAGCGUGGGUAGCGAACAGGAUUAGAUACCCCCGUAGUCCCUGUCUCUUAUACC